UGCCUAUCUAAGUAUAAGCAAUUUAUACAGUGAAACUGCGAAUGGCUCAUUAAAUCAGUUCUCGUUUAUUGAUAGUUCCUUUUCUCCUUGGUAUAUCUGUGGUAAUUCUAGAGCUAAUACAUGCUUAAAAUCUCGACCCUUUGAAAGAGAUAUAUUUAUUAGAUAAAAAAUCAAUGUCUUCGGACUCUUUGAUGAUUCAUAAUAACUUUGUCGUAUCGCAUGGCCUUGUGCUGGCGUUGGUUCAUUCAACUUUCUGCCCUAUCAACUUUCGAUGGUAGGAUAGUGGCCUACCUUGGUUUCAACGGGUAACGGGGAAUAAGGGUUCGAAUCCGGUGAGGGAGCCUGAGAAACGGCUACCACAUCCAAGGAAGGCAGCAAGCGCGCAAAUUACCCAAUCCUAAUUCAGGGAGGUAGUGACAAUAAAUAACGAUACAGGGCCGAUUCGGGUCUUGUAAUUGGAAUGAGUACAAUGUAAAUACCUUAACGAGGAACAAUUGGAUGGCAAGUCUGGUGCCAGCUGCCGCGGUAAUUCCAACUCCAAUAGCGUAUAUUAAAGUUGUGCAGUUAAAAAGCUCGUAGUUGAACUUUGGGCCCGGUUGGCCGGUCCGGUUUUUUCUGUGUACUGGAUUUCCAACGGGGCCUUUCCUUCUGGCUAACCUUGAGUCCUUGUGGCUCUUGGCGAACCAGGACUUUUACUUUGAAAAAAUUAGAGUGUUCAAAGCAGGCGUAUUGCUCGAAUAUAUUAACAUGGAAUAAUAGAAUAGGACGUUUGGUUCUAUUUUGUUGGUUUCUAGGACCAUCGUAAUGAUUAAUAGGGACGAGUCGGGGCAUCAGUAUUCAGAUUGUCAGAGGUGAAAUUCUUGGAUUUAUUGAAGACUAACUACUGCGAAAGCAUUUGCCAAGGACGUUUUGCAUUAAUCAAGAACGAAAAGUUAGGGGAUCGAAGAUGAUCAGAUACCGUCGUAUUCUUAACCAUUAACUUGGGCCGACAAGGUAUCAGGUCGGUGUUUUUUUAUGGACCCCCUCGGCACCUUACGUUGAAAUCAAAGUCUUUUGGUAAUGGGGGGAGAUCUGGUCUGCAAGGUGCUGAACCUAAAGGAAUUG
rnacentral:rRNA from 1 species